AGCAGCCGCGGUAAUUCCAGCUCCAAUAGCGUAUAUUAAAGUUGUUGCAGUUAAAAAGCUCGUAGUUGAAUUUCGGGAUCAGCAGGUCGGUCGUGCCACUGGUAUGCACUGGCCUUGCUGAUUCCUCCCUCUUGAUGAGCCGUAAUGCCAUUAAUUUGGUGUUGCGGGGAAUCAGGACUGUUACUUUGAAAAAAUUAGAGUGUUUAAAGCAGGCAAGCGCUUGAAUACAUUAGCAUGGAAUAAUGAAAUAGGACGUUCGAUCCUAUUUUGUUGGUUUCUAGGAUUGACGUAAUGAUUAAUAGGGAUAGUUGGGGGCAUAGUAUUCAAUUGUCAGAGGUGAAAUUCUUGGAUUUAUUGAAGACUAACUACUGCGAAAGCAUUUGCCAAGGAUGUUUUCAUUAAUCAAGAACGAAAGUUAGGGGAUCGAAGACGAUCAGAUACCGUCGUAGUCUUAACCAUAAACUAUGCCGACUAGGGAUCGGAUGAUGUUAAUUUUUAUGACU
rnacentral:sRNA from 1 species